UAGGGAAUAUUGGUCAAUGGGGGGAACCCUGAACCAGCCAUGCCGCGUGCAGGAAGACGGCCUUCUGGGUUGUAAACUGCUUUUAUAGGGGAAGAAUGUGUUCCAUGCGUGGGAUAAUGACGGUACCCUAAGAAUAAGCACCGGCUAACUCCGUGCCAGCAGCCGCGGUAAUACGGAGGGUGCAAGCGUUGUCCGGAUUUAUUGGGUUUAAAGGGUGCGUAGGCGGGCUCUUAAGUCAGUGGUGAAAGUCUGCGGCUCAACCGCAGGAGUGCCAUUGAAACUGGUAGCCUUGAGUGCCGUUGAGGUAUGCGGAAUUUAUGGUGUAGCGGUGAAAUGCAUAGAUACCAUAAAGAACACCAAUAGCGAAGGCAGCAUACUAAUCGGUAACUGACGCUGAGGCACGAAAGCAUGGGGAGCGAACAGGAUUAGAUACCCUGGUAGUCCAUGCUGUAAACGAUGAUCACUCGAUGUGUGCGAUAGACAGUACGCGUCCAAGCGAAAGCGUUAAGUGAUCCACCUGGGGAGUACGUCGGCAACGAUG
rnacentral:rRNA from 1 species